GAGUAAGGUCCCAUGUCCCCUUUGAAAUCACCCUCUUAACACCUCAAAAGCUUUCCUCUUCCUUUUGGCUUGCACCACCACUCUGUUUUCACGAUCAUAUUCCUCUGUUGGGCUGCUUUUAUCCUUCGGGCUAUCUCGAUCGUGCUCCUCGAGGUCAAGCUCUGAGUGUUGCCCCGACUGCAGCAGGUUCCCAAUCACUGUGCUUGAGUUUUACAUCCUUGCUUUGGAGGUGUUAUUGGCUGCAGUUUCUUUGCUUUGUGUUUUCAACAAUCUUCGCAGGUAUGACAAAUGGUCAGUUUUCUCAAGGAGUAUGAAGAAAAGAUUGAGGUGAGGCCUAGCUCUGCUCAAUCUAACCCAUUCAUAUGGUGGCUUCAAAGAGAGCGUGUGAGUGGACCAAAACUACUGAAAAACCUCAGCUAUCCAAUGGGUCAGCUUUUUCCAAUUGCGAAUUGUCUGUUAUCUAUAUUUUGCUUAUGACUCUUUCAAAGAGCUGACGACUAGGAUCGUAUGAUGUGGUUAUUUCGGGUCCAUUGCCCAUCCUUUGUGGGUCCCACUGGAUGGUUAGUAUGCAGGAUAGGUUGGAUGCUGUAAGCACACCACAGUAAGCCCCACCUGCAACACAAGCUAUACAUGUUUGACAUGGUCAUGUAAGUUGCAGGUCUUUCAAAAAAUUAUUUCCUUUACGUAAGUUCAAGGCCACAUGUGGCACACGUUUAUGAGAUCCAAGCCAUCCAUCAGAUUGGGCACACUGUUAGAUGCUUUUGGGAAUGGCUUUAUUUUUGGGCAAGAGUAUUACAUGAUGGGUAACACCUUAUGUUCAGCUUGGAUCUCGAGCACAUAUGCCACAUUGGGACAUGAGUAGAUCCUCUACACUGUUUGUUUGCAAGAUGUUAAAAUAACAAUAAAGAAUCCCUUUACAAGUAUAGAGUCAUUUCUAGUUAUGCAAUUCCACUUUCAUUGAAUUUCUUAAUAUGCAAGUCUUAUGGACUUUGCAUAUAAAAGUAAGUGUUAGAGGAGGUCCAUUAAUUAUGUAGGCCACAAUUUAUAAAACAAAUCAAAACUAUGCAAAAGUUUUCAGGAUGUCCAUUUCAUUCAAACAUUGUGGCCCAUGUAAAAAGUGUAUUCCAUUGUGAA